rnacentral:rRNA from 1 species
AGCAAAUCCCAAAAAUAACGUCUCAGUUCGGAUUGUAGUCUGCAACUCGACUACAUGAAGCUGGAAUCGCUAGUAAUCGCAGAUCAGAAUGCUGCGGUGAAUACGUUCCCGGGUCUUGUACACACCGCCCGUCACACCAUGGGAGUCGGAAAUGCCCGAAGUCAGUGACCCAACCGCAAGGAGGGAGCUGCCGAAGGUGGAGCCGGUAACUGGGGUGAAGUCGUAACAAGGUACC